rnacentral:lncRNA from 1 species
GCGUGACUGUUCUAGGUGCCAGUUUGACCAGCAUGACCUUAAUCCAAUUCAAUAAUUUGGUGAAGUUAGUGGGAGGAUUGUGGUUUACUGAUUGAUCUUUUUUCUUCUCUUCUCUUAAUUCAUAAAUUAAAUCUUCUAAAUUAUUAGGUCUUUUAAAUGAGAUAGUUAUAAUGAUAACUAAAUCAUAGCCUCCCAUUAAGUUGGG